rnacentral:rRNA from 1 species
GAUGAACGCUGGCGGCGUGCCUAAUACAUGCAAGUAGAACGCUGAAGCUUGGUGCUUGCACCGAGCGGAUGAGUUGCGAACGGGUGAGUAACGCGUAGGUAACCUGCCUCUUAGCGGGGGAUAACUAUUGGAAACGAUAGCUAAUACCGCAUAAAAGUCGAUAUCGCAUGAUAUUGAUUUGAAAGGUGCAAAUGCAUCACUAAGAGAUGGACCUGCGUUGUAUUAGCUAGUUGGUGAGGUAACGGCUCACCAAGGCGACGAUACAUAGCCGACCUGAGAGGGUGAUCGGCCACACUGGGACUGAGACACGGCCCAGACUCCUACGGGAGGCAGCAGUAGGGAAUCUUCGGCAAUGGGGGCAACCCUGACCGAGCAACGCCGCGUGAGUGAAGAAGGUUUUCAGAUCGUAAAGCUCUGUUGUAAGAGAAGAACGAGUGUGAGAGUGGAAAGUUCACACUGUGACGGUAACUUACCAGAAAGGGACGGCUAACUACGUGCCAGCAGCCGCGGUAAUACGUAGGUCCCGAGCGUUAUCCGGAUUUAUUGGGCGUAAAGCGAGCGCAGGCGGUUAGAUAAGUCUGAAGUUAAAGGCUGUGGCUUAACCAUAGUACGCUUUGGAAACUGUUUAACUUGAGUGCAGAAGGGGAGAGUGGAAUUCCAUGUGUAGCGGUGAAAUGCGUAGAUAUAUGGAGGAACACCGGUGGCGAAAGCGGCUCUCUGGUCUGUAACUGACGCUGAGGCUCGAAAGCGUGGGGAGCAAACAGG